rnacentral:rRNA from 1 species
GUUGCCUCCGGGGCGACCCUCCCUUCGGGCGGGGGCUCCGGGUGGACACUUCAAACUCUUGCGUAACUUUGCAGUCUGAGUAAAUUUACCCACCAAAUUAAAACUUUUAACAACGGAUCUCUUGGUUCUGGCAUCGAUGAAGAACGCAGCGAAAUGCGAUAAGUAAUGUGAAUUGCAGAAUUCAGUGAAUCAUCGAAUCUUUGAACGCACAUUGCGCCCCCUGGUAUUCCGGGGGGCAUGCCUGUUCGAGCGUCAUUUCACCACUCAAGCCUCGCUUGGUAUUGGGCAACGCGGUCCGCCGCGUGCCUCAAAUCGACCGGCUGGGUCUUCUGUCCCCUAAGCGUUGUGGAAACUAUUCGCUAAAGGGUGCUCGGGAGGCUACGCCGUAAAACAAACCCAUUUCUAAGGUUGACCUCGGAUCAGGUAGGGAUACCCGCUGAACUUAAGCAUAUCAAUAAGCGGAGGAA